GAAAUGCGAUAAGUAAUGUGAAUUGCAGAAUUCAGUGAAUCAUCGAAUCUUUGAACGCACCUUGCGCCCUUUGGCUAUUCCGAAGGGCAUGCCUGUUUGAGUAUCAUGAACACCUCAACUCUCAUGGUUUGCCAUGAUGAGCUUGGACUUUGGAGGUCUUGCUGGCCUGUGGGCCAGCUCCUCUCAAAUGAAUUAGCUUUCCAGUGUUUGGUGGCAUCACAGGGUGUGAUAACUAUCUACGCUUGUGGUUUUUCCACCAGGUAACCUUCGGCAGUGGAGGUUCGCUGGGGCUCAUAAACGUCUCUCUCUAGCAGGGACAGGUUUUGACCAUUUGAUCUCAAAUCAGGUAGGACUACCCGCUGAACUUAAGCAUAUCAAUAAGCGGAGGAAAAGAAACUAACAAGGAUUCCCCUAGU
rnacentral:rRNA from 1 species